UACGGGGGGAGCAAGCGUUGUUCGGAUUUACUGGGCGUAAAGGGCGCGUAGGCGGCGUGUCAAGUCACUUGUGAAAUCUCCGGGCUUAACUCGGAACGGUCAAGUGAUACUGUCGUGCUAGAGUACAGAAGGGGCAACUGGAAUUCUCGGUGUAGCGGUGAAAUGCGUAGAUAUCGAGAGGAACACCUGCGGCGAAGGCGGGUUGCUGGGCUGAUACUGACGCUGAGGCGCGAAAGCCAGGUGAGCGAAUGGG
rnacentral:rRNA from 1 species